GUCACUCGCUUAUAUUACUGUAGCUGUUAUUCUACUUUCCCACUACGAAUUCAUUUGCUUCGAAAAUUGAGAAAGUGAGAGAGAGAGAAAGAGAGAGACUGUAAUGAGGGAAGAGGUUAUCAGCUCCGGUGGUACUGUCGAUCCCACACCUGCUGCCAGUUCGGCUGGGGCAUCCUCCCCAACUGUUCCAAUGAAUGUUGGCAGCAUAGAUGGGUCAAAUCAUGGGCAAGGCUCUAAAGCUGCUUCUAUAUCAUGUGUUGGUUCGCAACCACCCUGGACUUCUGUGAGCACAAGCAUCGGUGGUUCUACUUUUGGUUCCUCAAGAUCUUCAUGUAGGCCCUGGGAAAGGGGAGAUUUAUUAAGGCGUUUGGCUACUUUUGCUCCUUUAAAUUGGCUUGGCAAGCCUCAGAUCAUCAGUUCAUUGGCUUGUGCUCAGAAAGGUUGGACAAAUAUUGGUGAGGAAAAAAUUGCGUGCGAGUCAUGUGGUGCCUGCCUGAAUUUCUCAUCAUUGUUAUCUUGGACAAGUGCCCAAGCUCAAGAUGCCAGUGAAUCCUUUGCCAGGAAGCUGGAUUCAGGGCAUAAAGCUCAUUGCCCUUGGAAAGGAAACAGCUGUCCAGAAAGUCUAGUGCAGUUCCCUCCGACUUCUCAAUCUGCCUUAAUUGGUGGCUACAAGGAUAGAUGUGAUGGACUCAUGCAAUUUCAUUAUCUUCCUGUGGUAGCAAUCUCUGCAAUUGAGUUGAUGAGUGUUACUCGAGGCCCACAGAUUGAGCGCUUUCUGUCACAGUCUCAAAACUUUAUGUCAGGAGUAGACUUUAAGCCUGAUAAUAUAUCAGAGCUGGAAAGCUCUCAGGAUGAGGCAUACUGCUCAUUUACACGUGCACAGAAGCUCAUAAGCCUUUGUGGGUGGGAACCAAGAUGGCUCUUAAAUGUUCAAGAUUGCGAAGAACACUCUGCUCAAUCUGAAAGAAAUGGAAAUUAUUUUGGUCCAAGCAAGACUCAACUACGUCCUACUCAAGAUCCAGGGCCAAAAGCAGUUUCUACUUCUACUAAAAUGGAUGCCAGGAAGGGAAAAGCAUCUCUUAAGGAGUCUAGACUUGACUAUAGGUCACCUAUGCUUGAUUGUAGCUUAUGUGGUGCUACAGUUAGAAUUUUGGAUUUUCUGACUGUUCCUCGCCCGAGUCGUCUUGUACCCAACAAUAUAGAUAACCCUGAUACCAGUAAAAAGAUAGGAUUAACUCGUGGAGGAAGUGCAGCUAGUGGCAUCAAUGGUUGGAUUGCAGCUGAUGAUGCAGAGAAAGAUCAGGCUGAAGAUCGUGAUGAGGUUGCAACAACAAAUGAGGGGAAAACGAUGGCAAGCACAGAUUUGGAUUUAAACCUUACUAUGGCUGGAGGUUUUCAUUGUCCCCCUUUUGGUAGGACAGCAACAUCUGAAAAUAUUCAUGAUGUAGACAUGGGAAGAGAUUUAAUGAUUGGUCAACCUUCAGGGAGUGAGAUUGGUGAUCGUGCAGCUUCAUAUGAAUCACGAGGGCCAAGUUCUCGUAAGAGAAAUCUUGAAAAAGGUGGAAGCUCAGAUAACAGGCCAGCUCUUAGGUUGCAGCAUCAGGCUGAUAGUGUUGAAGGAACUGUCAUCGACCGUGAUGGUGAUGAAGUUACUGAUGGUGGACAAUAUUCUGCCGGUCCUUCAAAACGUGCACGUGAAUCUGAUUUUUUUGACACUUAUUGUUCACCUCAUCAAAGAGAUUCAUCUGGCGCUGGUCCUAGCCAUUCAUUGGGUUUUGAGGGUUAUGUUGCUGGCAAUCGAGUUUCUUCGUUCCAUCAAGGUAGUGAUCGCUUAAUAGGAGUCCAAUCUACUAGAGACUCAAACCGUGCAUCAUCUGUCAUUGCAAUGGACACAAUAUAUCAUAGUAUAAAUGAUGAUUCUAUGGAAAGUGUUGAAAACUACCCAGGAGACCUUGAUGAUGUCCAUUUCCCCUCCUCUAGCACCUAUGGCAAUGUUGACAUGAAUGAAACAUCUGAGCUGAAUAACAGCAUUCAAGCUCAGCAAAGCACAUGUUUACAAACAGCAACCGAAGUUGUCCCUGGUGAAGUGGGAGUCAGCAGUACAAACUAUGGGGAUGGAAUUUUUAAUGCAGAAACUGUGACUGCUCAUGCUCGAGAUGGAAUUAGUCUUGGCAUUAGUGGAGGGAGUGUUGGAAUGUGUGCAAGUCAUGAAGCUGAAGUCCACGGGGCAGAUAUAUCUGUACACAGAACCCAUAGUGUUGUUGGUGAAAUGGAACACAGAGUAGAAGAUGCUGAAAACCAGGGACAGACUGGUGAAUCUGUUCCAAAUCCAGGUCUAAUGGAUGAGGUCAUCCCAGAUGAUAUAAACCGGGACUAUCCUGUUGGUGAUAGCCAGGAGAUGAUGUCUCACUCUGCAGGAAGGGCAGACAGUGGGUCAAAAAUUGGCUGUUCUGCAAAGGCAGAAUCUGUUGAAAGUGGUGAAAAGAUUAGUCAAAGCUGCAAACUUCCUCCUGCUAAUAACAGUCGUCCAUCCCAAUCUUGCAAUGCCAUUGUUUAUUCAGACUGUGGAAAUACUAAGGAGAUCAUGAAGGAUGGUAAAUCAUCAUUCAGCAAUAAUUGUGCUCUAGUUCAAUCAGAUUUUGCCACUGCAAACCGGAUAGGUCCUCCAAAAGGAGAAAGUAACUAUGAAGAAGCUGUAGAAUUUGAUCCUAUUGUCUAUCACAACCAGUGUUGCCCUUGGGUAAACGGCAACGUUGCUGCUGCUGGCUGUGCUAGUUCUGUUCCAAGCACUAGUAGUGAUAUCAUUGCACUCUGCGGAUGGCAGUUGACUUUAGAUGCUUUGCAAUCACUAGGGAAUGUAAUUCCGACAGUACAGUCUGAGUCUGCUGCAUCUUUGUACAAGAAUGAUCAGCAAGCACCUCGUAAAAAACUUCUACACAACCACUCCAUGAGCAAAAGUCAUGGUCAACCCUGAGAUUUUUGGUAUUUCCAUUUCCUUGUAAGUGGAUUAUUUUUGGUAUUUCCAUUUCCUUGAUUCUAGGUAUAUUUUUCCGAACUACAUAAGGUAUUUCUAGGCGUAUUUCAACUUCAACGCCACGGUGUUUAUAAGGUUGUAGCAGACAUGUUGCUUUGAUCCUUCUUCUGCAGAGCAUAGAGAUUUCUCUCCCAUAAAUCUAUAUAAAACGAGAGUUAUUAUCAAAUAACUAUUUGCGUCAUAGACUUGUAAAUACUGAAUGUCAUUGUUUUUAAUUAUAGAAUUUCGUUAGGCUGUUGACCAUUUUUUAAUUUAUGCGACAAAAAAUCACUGAAAGUUAUAUAUUUCCUUUCUUUAGAUAAAAAAAAGCUGUACAUUUUACCGCGGUCUAGGUUAAGAGGGCGUGAAUUUUCUUUGACUUAUUUACAAGUUAUUCUUUCUUACUGUUGUGAUUAAGAAAAAAACUAUGAUGCUAAA